rnacentral:rRNA from 1 species
UACGUAGGGUGCAAGCGUUAAUCGGAAUUACUGGGCGUAAAGGGUGCGUAGGCGGCAUGAUAAGUUAUUGGCGGCAAAUCGAGGCUCAACCUCGUGGAAACUGAUAAUACUGUCUUGCUUGAGUGCAGAAGAGGUUAACGGAACUCCAUGUGGAGCGGUAAAAUGUGUAGAUAUAUGGAAGAACAUCAAUAACGGCGAAGGCAGUUAACUAUUCUGUUACUGACGUUGAGGCACGAAAGCGUGGGGAGCAAAAAGG